rnacentral:rRNA from 1 species
AGUGGCAAGUCUUCCAGUAUGGGGAGCAAAACAGCUAUGGGUCAAGUCCGAUAUCUUUAGGAGAAGUCUUAUUGUGAGGGCGAGUUAUAUAACACCAUAGGACUGGCCGUCCCAUAUGAAAAGAUUAUAUUAGAAUUGAAUGAAGCUUUGUUUAUAUAUUGAUAAUGACAGUAUAUAUAUCGUGUCUUGACUAAUUGCGUGCCAGCAGUCGCGGUAAUACGUAAGAGACUAGUGUUAUUCAUCUUAAUUAGGUUUAAAGGGUACCCAGACGGUCAAUAUAGCUUAUAAAAUGUUAGUACUUGACUAGAGUUUUAUGUAAGAGGGCAGUACUUGAGGAGGAGAGAUGAAAUUUCGUGAUACCAAAGGGACUCUGUAAAGGCGAAGGCAGCCCUCUAUGUAAAAACUGACGUUGAAGGACGAAGGCACAGAGAACAAACAGGAUUAGAUACCCAAGUAGUCUUUGCAGUAAAUGAUGAAUGCCAUAGGUUAGAUGAAUCAAAUAUAGUCUAGGGUUAGUCUAGCAAACUAAUGACCUAUACUAUAAUGAAAAAUAUCUGGUCUAUAAAUGAAAGUGUAAGCAUUUCACCUCAAGAGUAAUGUGGCAACGCAGGAACUGAAAUCACUAGACCGUUUCUGACACCAGUAGU